CAACCUAGGAAACAGAGGAAUAUUUGAAUAAGCACUUCAGAGGUUUUUCUUUUCAGCCCAGGAGGUAAGAACCGCACACCCCCACUGGUUGUCCUUAUACCCGAAUCUCGGGACGAGAUUCUUUUUCAGGGGGGUAGGCUGUAACGACUUAGGUUUAAAUCAGCCGAGUUUAAUCUUAAGACAAACCCCUAAUCUAGUUGACUCAGUCUUCUUGAGCUAUAUCAGCUAAAGUCCGAUUUUCAGCCCAAGCUAGCGCCUUAGGGAGGGUUUAUCUUUGGAAAGUUGAGCAGGACGCUAAGAAAUUCCUUUAUGGAAGUUGGAGAACGAAGUCCCUGCUACGACUUUGUUAGUUGGACCUUAAUCCACUUCAUCUCUGAAAGCUCCCAAAUCUGCAGUUCCAAUCAGCC
rnacentral:lncRNA from 1 species